CCUACGGGAGGCAGCAGCAGGGAAUUUUGCACAAUGGGCGCAAGCCUGAUGCAGCGACGCCGCGUGGGGGAUGAAUGCCUUCGGGUUGUAAACCCCUUUCAGGAGGGACGAAGCGAAAGUGACGGUACCUCCAGAAGAAGCCCCGGCCAACUACGUGCCAGCAGCCGCGGUAAUACGUAGGGGGCGAGCGUUGUCCGGAUUUAUUGGGCGUAAAGAGCUCGUAGGCGGUUCAACAAGUCGGCCGUGAAAGCCUGAGGCUCAACCUCAGGACGCCGGUCGAAACUGUUGUGACUAGGGUUCGGUAGAGGAGAGUGGAAUUCCCGGUGUAGCGGUGAAAUGCGCAGAUAUCGGGAGGAACACCAGUAGCGAAGGCGGCUCUCUGGGCCGACACCGACGCUGAGGAGCGAAAGCUAGGGGAGCAAACAGGAUUAGAUACCCUGGUAGUCCUAGCCGUAAACGUUGGGCACUAGGUGUGGCGGAUUCAUUGACAUCUGCCGUGCCGUAGCUAACGCAUUAAGUGCCCCGCCUGGGGAGUACGGUCGCAAGGCUAAAACUCAAAGGAAUUGACGG
rnacentral:rRNA from 1 species